AUUGAACGCUGGCGGCAUGCUUUACACAUGCAAGUCGAACGGUAACAGGGUGCUUGCACCGCUGACGAGUGGCGAACGGGUGAGUAAUGCGUCGGAACGUGCCGAGUAGUGGGGGAUAACGCAGCGAAAGUUGUGCUAAUGCCGCAUACGUACUGAGGUAGAAAGUGGGGGACCUUCGGGCCUCACGCUAUUCGAGCGGCCGACGUCUGAUUAGCUAGUAGGUGAGGUAAGAGCUCACCUAGGCGACGAUCAGUAGCGGGUCUGAGAGGAUGAUCCGACACCCUGGGACUGAGCCACGGCCCAGACUCCUACGGGAGGCAGCAGUGGGGAAUUUUGGACAAUGGGCGCAAGCCUGAUCCAGCCAUGCCGCGUGUCUGAAGAAGGCCUUCGGGUUGUAAAGGACUUUUGUCAGGGAGGAAAUCCUAGUGGCUAAUAACUACUGGGGAUGACAGUACCUGAAGAAUAAGCACCGGCUAACUACGUGCCAGCCGCCGCAGUAAUAC
rnacentral:rRNA from 1 species